AUUGAACGCUGGCGGCAGGCCUAACGCAUGCAAGUCGAGCGGAUGAAGGGAGCUUGCUCCUGGAUUCAGCGGCGGACGGGUGAGUAAUGCCUAGGAAUCUGCCUGGUAGUGGGGGAUAACGUCCGGAAACGGGCGCUAAUACCGCAUACGUCCUGAGGGAGAAAGUGGGGGAUCUUCGGACCUCACGCUAUCAGAUGAGCCUAGGUCGGAUUAGCUAGUUGGUGGGGUAAAGGCCUACCAAGGCGACGAUCCGUAACUGGUCUGGGAGGAUGAUCAGUCACACUGGAACUGAGACACGGUCCAGACUCCUACGGGAGGCAGCAGUGGGGAAUAUUGGACAAUGGGCGAAAGCCUGAUCCAGCCAUGCCGCGUGUGUGAAGAAGGUCUUCGGAUUGUAAAGCACUUUAAGUUGGGAGGAAGGGCAGUAAGUUAAUACCUUGCUGUUUUGACGUUACCAACAGAAUAAGCACCGGCUAACUUCGUG
rnacentral:rRNA from 1 species